rnacentral:rRNA from 1 species
GAUGAACGCUGGCGGCGUGCCUAAUACAUGCAAGUCGAGCGAACAGACGAGGAGCUUGCUCCCCUGACGUUAGCGGCGGACGGGUGAGUAACACGUGGAUAACCUACCUAUAAGACUGGGAUAACUUCGGGAAACCGGAGCUAAUACCGGAUAAUAUAUUGAACCGCAUGGUUCAAUAGUGAAAGAGGGUUUUGCUGUCACUUAUAGAUGGAUCCGCGCCGCAUUAGCUAGUUGGUAAGGUAACGGCUUACCAAGGCAACGAUGCGUAGCCGACCUGAGAGGGUGAUCGGCCACACUGGAACUGAGACACGGUCCAGACUCCUACGGGAGGCAGCAGUAGGGAAUCUUCCGCAAUGGGCGAAAGCCUGACGGAGCAACGCCGCGUGAGUGAUGAAGGUCUUCGGAUCGUAAAACUCUGUUAUUAGGGAAGAACAAAUGUGUAAGUAACUAUGCACGUCUUGACGGUACCUAAUCAGAAAGCCACGGCUAACUACGUG